rnacentral:lncRNA from 1 species
GUCAGCCAAGGGGAGCACCCAAGAGCAGCGCCCUGAUGCCAUUUUGCAAUGGAACUGGCAACAUGGAAGGAGCCAUGAGCUGCCUCUGCAACUUCUGCUGGUUUCAUCUCCCUUUCCCCUGCUGCAAUGAUCCUGGGCCUCAUCAAGUGAGGAUCCCUGGGUGGCUCAAUUAAUCCAAGAGCCCCUGAAAACCCUUUCUGAACAUGCAGACAAGCAGGAAAUAAACUUCUGUUCCCAGGAGGAGGGAGCACACCGUGCCAUGCAGGGCCACUUGGGGAAGCUCCAAGAUCUCUCAAGCCAAAGGAGCCAGAGGGAAAUGUGGGCAGGAGCUGAACUGUGGUUUUCCAGGGAAGGACCGAAACAGGAAGGGUGAGCAGUGAGCAGAGCCAUAAUGGCACCUGAAACUAAGAAAUUUGGAGAACCUUUGCAUUGUUGUAUAAAAGGCCCUGAGAAGUGCUGCAGCAAGAAAAAUAAACACAGUUGAAACCAGCAUUGCCAUACUACUUCAGCACAAACAGUCUUGUUUCUUGAUAUCAGCUUGGAGCUAGGAAAUCUGGACUCUGCUUGAUCGUCCAUCACAGAGACUGAAGCAUCCAGUGCCAUGGAGAAGGAGGAAUUGAGCAGCUUUUCUCCACUGUGCUCUUCCACCAUGAUGUUUCUGCCUCAGAGCCAGCUAUCUGAAGAAAAAAUCAGGAUAAUAAUUGAUACCUUAAGUGACCUCAUUAAUCAGCAGGGACAACCAGAAGGAUGUAAGUGGAGGACAAAUUGCCAUGGAGCCCGUCUGGGAAAGAAUGAAAGGUCAUCGUGUCUCUGAGUCAGAAUGGGACACUUCCAUGGGUGACUGACUCCUCAUUAGUCCAUCAUCUUGGGUCCCUCCAAGCAAAGCAGAAACAAGAAAGUUCCAAAGAAGGUUAGAAUUUAAUGGCACAGGACACCAUGUGGCAUUGAGUGCUGUACUUUUUACUAUCUUGUCUGGGAACAGAGAUGGCACAACGGUCUGCUUAAGACUGAUCCCAAGCCAAGAGGGAUGCCUUAGAUAACAAAGAGCCAGAUCCAAAAGGUCCAUUCUGUCUUAACCUAGACGGAAAAGCCGUUCCCAAACAAGCUGCUGUCAACCACCCUCAGGGCUCAUGGCUGACUCAGAGUGUGUGACUGGGACUCUAUGAGAGCGCCUGAAACCUUAUGAUACCCUCUCAGGACUAGAGGGUGCCCAAGGAAAAGUGAUGGUUCUGACCUGCCCUUGAGGGUUAGUUUUGCUCCUAAAUAAAUGUCUUUUAUUUUUCUAAAUCAUUUUUUUGAACAUAAAAAAUCCUUCAGAAGCACA